GGUACGUAGCUCAGUGAUAAAGCACUUGCUUAGCAUUCAUGAGGCCCUGGGUUCAAUCCCCAGCACUG
rnacentral:tRNA from 1 species